UAAUUAGUAGUUAUUAACAUGAGCCAACAAAGAGUUAACUUUUUUAGUAAUGAAAUAAAAAAUAAAAUUGAAUUAAAAUAAUCGUUGAAUGUAUAUCCUUAGGAAUUAAAAUGUAUAUUUAAUUACUUACAUUAUUAUUCUUAUCAAAUAAAGGAUCACCUCUUUCACUUCAUAACUGUUCUACUUAAAAAAUCACCCUGAUCCUUGAGGACAGAGAGUUAAUCAAACUAUGAUUCAUUUACAACCUUCCUAGCUACACUGAUCAACCAAGGAAUAGUAUGUUACAUGAAAUCCACUCUUAUUUUAUACAUUGAUCUACUGAAGAUAUAAAAAGUCCUGAAAUUUGGUGAAUUUGUUAAGUGAUGCUUACGUCUUGUUGCCUAGGCUAUUGAAGAGGCUAUCCUGCUUUAAAAGUAGAUAAGAAUGUUGUUUAUUGGGAUCCCUCCAUCUAUUUCCAAAGUAUGAGGAAUUACAUGGAUUUUGUACCCUCGAAGCAUUCUCGUGUCUGUAGAAUACAUUUUUACGAGUCGUGUUUCCGUAAGGAGUGGAAGGACUCCACCUCGUCGAGACCUAUAAAAUAAACAUCUUUUGAAAUACCAAGGCUUAAACUGGAAUCUGUGCCGACAAUAUUACCUGAGGCACCGGCAUACUUAUCAAAGUUAUCAGCUCCUCAAAGAUCAAUCUCAUUAGGCACUUUUCAAAAAAGUGUAUUUCCAGAGGUGAGAAAGGAAACAAAAUGAUAAAUAAACGGAUGUCUGACUUUCUCAAGGAGGAUAUAAUUCACAAUUUCGGAUGAAUAAAAAAAAGAUCUCGAUCAGUUAUGCUCGCCUAAGAAUACUCACGAGACGUUCAACGCGGAUUGUUCCUUAUUUGGGUUGUAUCAGGAACUUGGAGGUGGCAAUUACUAUAUCAGCUGCCAACAGUUAAUGGAACCUUAAAAUAAAAUAUUUGUCAGUCUCUCCUUCUUAGGAUGGUUAUUACAAUUAUAUUCCAGAUGUCAGAAACUACAGAAAAAAUUGGGGAUAUUGAUCAGGAUGUUAAGAAUUUUUUAAUUUCACUUCUCUCAGAUUGUUAUUGUGUUUUAAAUCUACCAUCAAGCCAAAAUGGUAUCCUUGACUACUGAGGUAAUAAACAAUAGCAUCAAGCCACAAUGGUAUCAUUUAUUACCUCAGUAGAUAUGCAACUCGUGCCAUAUUGAAGAAAAAAUCUCUUUGCUGUCAUGGAUUUCUAUUUUGACUGGGAAACAUUGAGUUUGAAAAAUCUGAUUCCGAUGCAAAAAAUGACUUUUUAAAUAAAAUUGAUAGAGGUGGCCUUAAAAAGGCAAAAUAUAUUAUCUUUGAUUAUGUUCUCAUA
rnacentral:lncRNA from 1 species